UGGGGAAUAUUGGACAAUGGGCGCAAGCCUGAUCCAGCCAUGCCGCGUGUGUGAAGAAGGCCUUAGGGUUGUAAAGCACUUUCAGGAGUGAGGAAGGGUGUACGGUUAAUACCCGUAUAUUUUGACGUUAACUCCAGAAGAAGCACCGGCUAACUCUGUGCCAGCAGCCGCGGUAAUACAGAGGGUGCGAGCGUUAAUCGGAAUUACUGGGCGUAAAGCGCGCGUAGGCGGUUUGUUAAGUCGGAUGUGAAAUCCCAGGGCUCAACCUUGGAAUGGCACCCGAUACUGGCAGGCUAGAGUACGGUAGAGGGGUGUGGAAUUUCCUGUGUAGCGGUGAAAUGCGUAGAUAUAGGAAGGAACAUCAGUGGCGAAGGCGACACCCUGGACCGAUACUGACGCUGAGGUGCGAAAGCGUGGGGAGCAAACAGG
rnacentral:rRNA from 1 species